UCACAAUGCACAGCAAAACACAGGGUUUCAGUUUUUAACGGAACUGGGGCCCAGGAAGAGGCAAAAGGGAAGGCAAAACAGGAGGUUAGACAAUGGAAGCUUUUCUCUAUACUGUUGCUGUCACCUCUCCUGGGCAGCGGGGGCUGUUACAGAACGUCAAGCAGACGGCAUUUUACCAGGAAAUGCAGGUGUCCAGCAACACAAUUAAGGAGAUUUGAAUUGACCAAAUCCUUCGCCCUUCCAGAAAACAAAACUGAAUAUACACCUCUUCCAAGCUUUCCUCUAAAAAAUAUUCAGGACACCAGGCUGACAAGUAUAGGUACUUAAUGCAUCCAAGUGUGUCUAUUUGCCAUCAUGCAGGCACACUGAAGGUGCAGCAUGAUCACCAGGACUGCCUGCUUCCCUUGGGUUGACCUCAUGUCAACACUUUGGAAAGAGAAACCCCUUGUAAGGCAACUUUCCUGCACGCUCUGCACCACUGGGAGUUGGGCUAGUUUGUGAGCUCUUGCCAAUAGAAGAAAUAUAAUUUUAUUCCGUGUGUGUAUAUGUGUGUGUGUGUGCAUGUAGCACAUGGAUAUUUGGUCUUCUAAUAUAAAUGUAGCUUUCUGUUCUGCUUGGGCCAGCAGUGUCCUCCUGCCCUCUCCAUUUGCUGUAAUUCUCGUUGUUCACAGAAGGCUUCAGAAUCCAGCCAACACAUAUCACAGAACUGGUGAGGAGAACCAUUACUCAUAAAUUUGUGCAAUUGAUUAAGUCCCUAAUUGUACCCAGGAGGUCAUGUCUUGAAAUGCUUUCAGACCAUCAAAAAGAGAACAAGCUGCUUGGGAACAGUAAGCACCAUCUGAGACUUCUUCCAUAACUCAGACUGUUUACUUUUCAUCUUCACUCACCACUUCCAAGCACAUCUUUUUUUCCUCAUAUUCUUUUACUGUUUCUUCUUUUGAAACUCACUUCCAGGGAAAGUUCUAAGGAUAUCUUGGCCUUCAGGGCAGAUUCAAGUCCUGAUUUCUCUGUACCCCAGCAGAGAACGUAUGGAGCAGACCGAGGUCCUUCUACCCCA
rnacentral:lncRNA from 1 species